rnacentral:rRNA from 1 species
UACGUAGGUGGCAAGCGUUAUCCGGAAUUAUUGGGCGUAAAGCGCGCGCAGGCGGUUUUUUAAGUCUGAUGUGAAAGCCCACGGCUCAACCGUGGAGGGUCAUUGGAAACUGGAAAACUUGAGUGCAGAAGAGGAAAGUGGAAUUCCAUGUGUAGCGGUGAAAUGCGCAGAGAUAUGGAGGAACACCAGUGGCGAAGGCGACUUUCUGGUCUGUAACUGACGCUGAUGUGCGAAAGCGUGGGGAUCAAACAGGAUUAG